UACGUAGGUGGCAAGCGUUAUCCGGAUUUAUUUGGCGUAAAGGGAACGCAGGCGGUCUUUUAAGUCUGAUGUGAAAGCCUUCGGCUUAACCGGAGUAGUGCAUUGGAAACUGGGAGACUUGAGUGCAGAAGAGGAGAGUGGAACUCCAUGUGUAGCGGUGAAAUGCGUAGAUAUAUGGAAGAACACCAGUGGCGAAAGCGGCUCUCUGGUCUGUAACUGACGCUGAGGUUCGAAAGCGUGGGUAGCAAACAGG
rnacentral:rRNA from 1 species